rnacentral:antisense_RNA from 1 species
CUCAGGCUUCCGGUCUGUUUGGUGCCCUGGUCGCGUGUCUUCCGAACUCUGCUGCUUCGCCCCGGCAAGAGCACUUCCUUCCGCGGCUGCUAAAACUGGUGCGCGGGUUCCCAACUUCGCAGAAGCAGCUUCAUCGCCCCCCCGCUAGAGACCUCAGACCGCAGCCAUCGACGCCUCGCCUCGGGGAUCUGUCCCCACCCUCGGGGCCAGCUCACCAUGAGUCAGGCCCUGUGCUAGGUGCUGGGAUGAAGCAGUGACUGACACAGGCCUGGACCUGUCCUUGUGAAGAGUGCGUCUGUGACACAGAUACUGUGCCAUGUGGCAAAGUAAGCACGUGGGACAGCAGAGCCUUGUUUGCCAUUAAAGUAAUAUCACAAGUC